UUAUUUCCGGAAGCAUCCUGCUGGUUCAUGCUUUCAGAAAGAAGCUCUUGUCCUGCACCUUCGGCUAUUACUAUAACCAUGUGACCAUUCUCCUUCAGUCUUCUUUCAAUAUAUUCAUAAAGUCCACCUGGUCCUUCCAGAUAGAAAGGUGAUUCUGGAAUCAGACAACAGUCCACGUCUCGGCUAGCAAGAGUAGCAUACAUUGCUAUGAAUCCUGUGUGAAAAGAGAUUCAGAAUAAGAACUACGUAACAGUGACUGUUCUACGGUCUACCACACAGUCUCAUCAAUGGGUGUACAUAGUCACUGGCAAAGGAAAUUGAAACCCAUUUACACAUCUAGUCGAUACGCAGAGGGCACAGUUAGUACACGUGAUUACAAGUUGUACAGGUUCAGGGAGAAUCAAAUCAAUUGGAGAAAUAAGAGAGCAUCAAGUGACAUAAAAUCACCACACUGGAAGCCUAUUUUCACAUUAUCUACUGUGUUUUACUCUAAAAUUAAAUAAUUUUAAGAUUAUAGAGAAAUACACUUUACCACUAUAGCGGCCCAUUAACUUGACGACACCAAUACCAUUUUCAAUGCUUCCUGCUUCAACAUGGGCUGCACUAAUGGCUCGCUGAGCCUCCUCAACAGCAGUGUCAAAACCAAAAGAUUUGUCUAUAACCUACAUAAAAACAUGGAAUCCAAAAUUAAGACUGCUUCCAAGGGUGAAUGCUAUAUUUAGAUCAAAUACAUCAGACAAGUCAUCCAUGGGAUAAGGAGUACCGGAAUGUCAUUAUCGAUGGUUUUUGGAAUUCCUGCCACCGCUACUUUGAGGCCACGCCUCCUGAUUUCCUACAUAGAAUAAUGGCAGGUAAAUAACUCAUAUUGCACUCAACUUACUUAUAAUUUCAUCCCAUGUUGUUGCCCAACACACUCAAUGUUGUUGAAUCUUCCAAUCCCCUUGUUCCCGAGUACCACACCAAACUGAAUUACCUCAAAAAUCACCGAAGCUCCUCUCUGAGUUCCGUCUCCCCCAAGUAUAUAAACCUGACGUGCAUAAACAGAGGUAAGUCUAUGCACAAAAGUUUUUUGGAGAAAGCAAAGCCAACAUAAAAUGAAAUCUGAAAAUCUAGAGUAAGAUAAGUAAUAUCGACCUGAUUAAUUCCUCUGUCCUGGAUGCUGUCCACAAUCUUUGAGGUAUCAUGCCCGCCUCGUGAUGUCCCAAGGAUGGUGCCACCACGUUUAUGGAUGUCAUUCACAACCUUUGGCGUUAAGGGGAUUGUAUUUCUGGCAUAAAACCCUCUGUAUCCAACCUGCAUGGAGAAAAUUUACUGCCUUAGUUCAUGACAUUGUUCAACCGUAUGAUAAAAGAUUAUGACAUAGUUCACUUACCUCUAUUCCGAUAAUUCUUUUGACACCAUACAUGUGGUUCAGGCCGCAUACUAUUUCUCUAAUAACUGUAUUCAGUCCUGGACAUAGACCACCACAUGUCACGAUACACGCGUGCACUUCACUUGACUCAAAAUACACCUGAGGAAUAACCAACUGCAUGUCAUUUGUUUGGAAUAUAUAAUACAAGGACAAUAAAUAGAAUGAAAAAAGUAGGAAUUUAAAACCUUCUGACGUGGUCCAGAGCGUCGAAAGUGCGUCCCCCUUGGACUAUCCUUGUGGACAACAAUCUAUACAACGAAAACGUCAUAGAAAUAGAAAACCGAAAUGGUAAGACAUUGAAGUUUUCAUAUCACUAGGAAUUUGCGUAAAAUACAUACUAGAAGAAUGAAUACAUUGUUAAUAGACCAAGCACUGAAUAUUACUCACCUUUUGGGCAACGGUAUCAUCCGCAUUGACGAAAUACUGCCUGGUCAAUAGCAGGAUCAAUUUUGCGAAUUAUCAAGAUCACAACGAAGUGAGUCGUACCAAAUGCAUUUGCUGUAAAUGUGAAGCAAAGAAGCUGAAAGAGUUAAACUUACUUGACAACCGAAUAGGAAGGAUUGUCUUGUAAUGGAUUGUGAUAAGUCUGCAAAUUGCCAUAAAACAUAUGAAACCGAAUGUUAGAUUUCGUUUCCCCUUGCAGCAAAACAAUCAAGAUAGGAUUAUCAUAUCAAAAUUCAUGUCAAGUUGCUACACUUCAAAGCAUUCGUAGCAAAAUACUACUGAAUAUUCGGGUCCUACAAAUUUUAGUAGUUAAGUACAAUUUUUAUGAACACAAAAUUUAUAGAAUUUGUUAUUCACGGAUAAUUAAGGAUUGGUUUCAAAAAUAUUUUCACCAAAAGCACUUUCAAUCAUUUGGAAAGAACUUCCAAUCAAGCCUAAAGCUUUUCACUCUUCCACAUGCACUUCAAACACGCUCUAAUUGUCAUCACUAUUUUUCAGUAAAUCAAUUCUACAACAAAAUAAUGUUAGAAUAAUAGUUUAACAAUAUCCUCUUAGCGUUUGAAUCUCAGAUUUUGCAAUCAAUUUAUUCCCCAACCCGUUAGAGUAAAUAUUUCGUUAUAUAAAUACAACGAUAUCCUCAUAGAAAACUUUAUUAAAAAAAUAAAAUACUCCAGCACCCCAUUUCUGUUUACUGAAGCAACAAUUAAAUCUCAAUAAAUAAAUUACAUGGAAAAUCACAUUAGUUAAAACUUAAAACGCAACUUAAACAAGUUCCAGAAAGAACCAAAAAAAAAAAAAAAAAAAUCAAAGCUCUUUGUACUGGAUUCAGACAUUUGGUCACCCCAAAACGCCGCGUUUCAGUUACCACUUAAUACGAUAAAAAAAAAACAACCACCACCGCAACACCAAACAUGCAAAACACCAACCAGAAGAAGAAAAACAACAACAAGAAGAAGAUUGCAUGUUUUUUUAGCAGCUACAAUUAUUAGAUUGUUAUUUUCUCAAAACAAAAAAAAAAAAAAAAAAAAAAAAAAAACCAAAACAAAACAAUCAAAGUAUAUAUACAAGUAGAAUAUAUAACACUAUAACACUGAUAAACUGAGUAGUUUUUUCUGAUCAUCCAAACAGAGCAUUAAGAAAGAGAGAAGUGUAAGUAGUAGUGGGGAGAGAGAGAGAGAGAGAGAGAGAGAGAGUUACUGGGAGAUCGGGGAUGUAAUCAACUAAGUGAGGAACAUCUUCGAGGACGUAGCCGCAGGGGCCGGUGGCGAUUUUGGGCUCGCCGUUAUCGGAAAUUGCCAUGCUGCCACUGGAACGGUCGUUGGGAAUGGAGGCGGGGAACUAUGGAGGGUGAUCGGCAGUCGCAGGGUAAGAGUUGGUAGGGUCGAAGCAGCGGAACCUGGGACCGGAAAUUGCCUUAUCUCGAGUACAAAAAUGUAAUGAGACAACAGGGCAUAUAUGUAGCCGUUGAUGUUGAUUAAUCAGACAGUUCCCACGUGUUGACUUGGAAAAUUUACUUUUUUGACCGCUGCUUGUUUACUGUGAAUUUCUUGGGGAAGAAUUUAGAAGAGUUUCAAAGAUUCUAGAUCAUUUAUUGAAUUAUUUCUACGUUCAAAACUUGAAAUAUGUUUAGCAAGGAUGAGUUUGUCAAGUUUGUCAAUUCACAUCUAUAUGAUGUGUCUACUUUUUCUUGGUCGAAAUUUAUGUGCCUACUUAUUAUAUUAAUAAUGAUCGAACUAACUUCUUCUAGAGAGAUUGUCAUCAAACAAAUUUAUCAUCAUUUAAAUGGGAAAAUGAUUCUGGUCGGAUCAUUUUCUUGGGGAUCUCGUGAUCAUGAUUCUUCAUUGUACAUCAUGCAGUCAAUUUUCGUUAGGUACUAUUUAUAUUUAAUUUAAAAUUUAAAAUUUUAAAUGAUUUCUGAUUGCACGAUGUACGAUGAAUGGUCAUGAUCACGAGCAUCCACAUCACAACCCACUAACACCCAAAACGAAAUACCUAACCUGAGCCCUAGGGAACCAUUGCCAAUUUUAAAUGAGCAAGCUUUGGUGCAUGAAUAGCCUAUGAAUCAGUCCUUACCAUCACCAUCCAUCAAUCAUUCCUCAGCUCCCAAUCCACCACCAGUUCAUCCAAUGACAACGAGGUCCAAGGCUGGGAUACAAAAGCCGAAUCCGAAAUAUGCUUUACAUGUUAUUACUGACAACAAAGUUUUUGAACCAACUUGUUUUAGUUAAGCAGUGAAACAUAAGAAAUGGAGGAGUGCGAUGGCCCAGGAGUUUAAUGCCUUGCAACGUUGUGGCACAUGGGCGUUGAUACCAUAUACUUGUGACAUGAAUUUACUGCCCAAUAAAUGGGUAUUCAAUAUUAAACGACGUGCAGACGGGUCGAUUGAGAUACAUAAAGCAAGACUUGUCGCAAAUGGCUUCCAUAAAAAAUUAGGGAUUGAUUACACUGAGACUUUUAGUCUAGUUGUGAAGCAUAGCACCAUUAGACUUGUUCUCAGCCUUGCAGUUUUAAAGAAGUGGCGUGUUCAACAACUUGACGUUCAGAAUGCAUUUUUGCAUGGUUAUCUCAAUGAGAACGUGUAUAUGAGACAACCACCAAGUUUCAUUGACAAAGAUUAUCCCAAUUAUGUUUGUAAGGUGCAAUGUUGUUUGUAUGGGUUAAAAGAGGCUCCAAGGGCCUAGUUCCAACGAUUUUUUGACUUCUUAAUUCAAUUGGGAUUUGAAGAGUCCAUGUCUGAUUAUUCCUUGUUCGUUUUUAAUCAGCCAGGAGUUUAUUUAAGUUUGUUGAUCUACGUGGAUGACAUUUUGAUAAAAGGGAACAAUAACACUCUGAUGGCUUGGUUAAUCACAAAGUUGGGCAGUUUGUUUUCAAUGAAGGAUUUGGGUCCUUAAGAUAACUUUGAUUGAUUCUUAUUCUUAUCUCUCCAAUAUGGAGGCAAUAUAUAUACAUCCACACCUUGCGGUACAAGGAAUAAUAAUAAAAGAGUUUAUCCUAAACUAGGAAGGAAUCCUUUUAAUCUAGAAAACCAAAUUACAUUCCAAUACUGAUUGAUUUAUGACUCACUCGUCAACAUUCCCUAUCAAGUUGGUGCGUAGAUAUCUCCUAGGCCUAACUUGUCAAGUGAGUCACAAAAUCUUCUACCAGAGAUAGCAUGUUACAAUAUCCGCCAACUAUUCCUCUGUCUUCACGUAUGGAAUAUCAAUCAACUUCACAUCUAGCUUUUCUUUGAUGAAAUGUCUGUUGCACUAGGUUGUUAGCUAUUUCUCUCACUACUUGAUUAUCACAAUACAACAUCAUAGACCCCUCUGGCUUGAUCCCUAUCUCAGUGAGCAAGAUUUGCAGCCAUAGAAGCUCACAAAUUCCAUGAGCCAUUCCUCUGUACCCGACCUCUGCCGAAGAUCUUGCCACCACACUUAUUACUCCUCCAAGUCACAAGAUUUCCAGCUAUGAACGUAAAACAACCUGAUGUAGAUUGUCGGUCAGUAAUAUUUCCUGCCCAAUUUGCAUCAGUGUAUCCUUUCACUUCCAUGUGUCCAUGCUUUUUAUACAUCAAUCCUUUCCCUGGAGCUCCGUUUAAGUAAUUCAAGAUUCUCAUUACUGUUGCCAUGUGGUCUUCACUUGAAGCAUGCAUGAACUAACUAACUACGAUUAUUGCAUAAGCAAUAUCCGGUUGGGUAAAGGACAUAUAAAUUAAUAUUCCCGCUAACCUUUGAUACCUCUCCUUAUUAGUCGAAAUUUGAUCCUGAUAGAUCGCCAGGUGAUGAUUUUGCACAAUCUGAGUUUCUGCCGGUUUACAAGCCAACAUACAUGUCUUAGAUAACAGAUCCAAUACGUACUUGCACUGUGACAAGUAAAUCCAUGCACGAGACCGAGCCACUUCAAUUCUUAGGAAAUACUUGAGUCCUCCUAAGUCCUUCAUCUCGAAUUGAGCAGACAAGUACCUUUGUAAUCUUUCAAUCUCCCUUGUAUCAUUACCUGUGACAAUCAUAUCAUCCACAUAUAUGAUGAGUAAGGUCACUUUACCAUCCUUACAGUUGAUGAAUAAAGUGUGAUCAGAACUUCCAUGUCGGUAUCCAUACUUUUUCAUCGCCCGAGUGAAUUUGCCAAACCAUGCUUUAGGUGACUGCUUAAGACUGUAUGGCACCUUUUGAAGUCUGCAUACCUUUCCACUAGAGUUCGCAAUGUUGUACCCUGGUGGAAAGUCCAAGUAUACCUCUUCCUCUAAGUCUCCAUGUAAGAGAGCAUUUUUUACGUCAAAAUGUCUUAGAGGCCAAUCAAAGUUAGUAGCUAGAGACAACAGAAGUCUAAUGGUAUUCAUCUUCGUGACUGGAGCAAUGGUUUCCUAGUAAUUAACACCAAAAUUAUGUGUGUACCACUUUGCCACCAAUCUUGCCUUGUAUCUAUCAAUAGUUUCAUCUUACUUGUGUUUAAUGGCAAAUACCCAUUUACACCAUACCGGUUUACCUUUGGGGAGUGGCACCAAUGUCCAUUUAUUAUUCUUUUGUAAAGCCUCUAUUCCACCUGCAUUGCCUCUGUCCAUUUCGAAUCCUUCAAGGCAUCCUCAACUCUUAUGAGUAUUUUUAGAUCUUCCAUUUGUUGGACUAAUACAUAGUAACUCGGUGAGAGUCUAUGAGUAUAAACAUAGUGUGCAAUUGAAUAUCACACAUUUCCCUCCAGAAAGUACCUGUCAAUGGGUUUUCCUCGAUUUUCUUUAGAAGGCAACACAUAACCAGGUUUAAUUCUUUCUGAGUUAGUACUUACCUCAAGAAUAUUCGGUUGAUCUUGAAUGGGUACUUGAGAAAUAAGAUGAGAGGGGACGUCGUAUACACCUUUCAUGGAUCCAGCAGCUGGCCCACGCCCACUAAGGCUGUUCAAGGAUGCGGUUGUGGCUGGCCUAGUUGGGCUGUCUAAUGCAGCAGUUGUCGCUGGGCCACUUGGGUUGUCUUCGAUGCUCCCAUUAAUUUGCCCAUCUAGGCUCUCGGUCCAAUGUCCAAUAAUUAGCCUAUCUAGGCUCUCUUCCAUUAGUCAUUUUUCUCUUUUUGCCUCUCGGCCACUUAUUCUUCUGGGCUUUCUAUUUGUUCAUCAACUAGCCCACUUGGGCGUUCUUCAUGUGCUGCUAUGGCAGGCACAUCAAACUAACUAUAGUCCUCACUUGCUACUAUCUCCCCUUGAGGAGUAUGGUUGGGAGGAAAAAACAAUUCAUCCUUGGAGAAAGUUACAUUCAUAGUGAUGUACAUAUGCCGAGUAGGCAGAUGAUAACAUUGGUAGCCAUUUUGUUAUGGACUAAAGAAAAAAAAAUACACCGAACUGUACACGGAUCAAGUUUGCUUCGUUGGUUCUUAUGGAGAUGGACAUAAGCAACACACCAAAAAACUUGUGGUUCCAGUUGAAGAGUUGAGGGAAGCGUAACAUGGUUUGCAAGCACGGCCAAGAAAGUUCGAAAAGAGAGAACUUGAGAUGGCAUGCGAUUCAUAAGAUAAACGGCAUAAGUUACUGCAUUUGUACAAUAUGUCUUGGGUACACAUGCACCGAUUUAGGGUGCUUAGGUAGUCUUGAGGAUAUAACGAUUCUUUCUUUCUGCAACUUCAUCUUGUUGUGAAGUCUGAGGAUGUGUAAUUUCAUGAAGGAUAUCAUGUUCUCGAAGUUUUAAUAAAAGCACAAUACCUUUUGAGUUGAUUCAUUCUUGAAGAUUUCACUCGCAUCACUUUUAUUUUUCAUAAGAUACAACCAUGUCAUCCGGGUACAAUCAUCAACGAAUGUCACAAACCAACUUAUACCAUGAAGGGUAGUAACUAGAGAUGGCCCCCACACAUCAGAAUGAAUCAACUCAAAAGGUAUUGUGCUUUUAUUAAAACUUCGAGAAAAAAAAGCACAGUGGCUUUUGGCUAAGGUGCAAGUAUUACACUUUAGGAGAGUCUGAAAUAUUAUUAAAUAACAACGGAAGUAAUUUUCUCAAAUAUCCAAAUGAAGCAUGACCUAGUCGAUGAUGCCACAACUGAACAUUCUUCAUCCUUCUGUUAGAGUAUGAGUGUGAUUCUUGCAUGUCUUGGGAUAAUUAAGAUUAUCAUAAAGAAGUCUUAGUCAUGUCAGCUAGAGUAAAUCCUACUGUGAUUGGGAUAUUGAGAACUCUUGUAUUUGCACAAGUAUAGAACUCAUUCUAGUACGAGGAAUAAUAUUCCUUAUUGGAUUGUAUAGGGCAAUUUGUGGAUAAGUAUAUAAACAUAAGCCAUUGUUCUCACAAAUAACGCUCUCACUUUCGAACCAAUAACCUAUUCUUGGGAAAACAUUGAGGUUUGUAGAUAAGAGAAGGUUGUGUGCAAGGAAAGUCAUGGUUUCUAUCUCAAUGAAUAUGUUUGCAGGUUAGUUUUCUGUCAUAUGUGGUUUAUCCUUUGUUCUUCAUAUGCAAAUCAAUACUGUAAUUUAAUUGCUUGAUCUUUUGGUUCUUGGGUUGAGACUUAUAUUGUUUUAGUUGUCUCGAUUUCACUCUUACAUGUGGUAUCAGAGCCUACCAAAUCUGGUGAUUAAGUUCAAUUGAUAAAACACUUUAGUUAUGAAACUUUUUCGAACUGGAAUGGAAAAAUAAAUCUGUGAUAAAGCAAUCAUUAAAUAAACGACAUCGUUUUUCGACCUUUUUUUUUAAAAGAAAUUUUGACCGUUGGGAUAUAAAGGGUAAGAACUAGGGUUUUCUUAAAAAAAAAUAAAAUUUUGACCGUUACUGGUCUAAAGGAAAGGUGAACCUUUCCAAAAUGCUGCUUCUGUGUUUUCUCAUCGAGUUUCUAAGUUAAGAUUCAAGCAAACGCUUUAGGAAACACGUUAUUCUUGGAUUCAUGUUUCAAUAAUUAAAAUUCCGUUGUGUGCCUUCAAAGAUAAUGAUCCUUGAGGUAAUUCUUGUUAAUUUCAUUUUCUUUAUUCAUGAUGGAAUGAUGUUCUUUGAUUCAAUUGUUAGAAUCCCGAAAAUUUUCGAUUUAGUAUGAACAUCCUGAUACUUCUGCAGAAAUUAACUAUUUUGUUUAUUGUUGCUUCGAUCUGCUUCGAAACGAAAACCAUGAGUUAUCUCUGGAGUUUCUAUGUCUACAGCACUGUAGAAUUGUUUAAACAAUAUAUACUUUUCGGUGAUAUUGAAAAGUUUGUGUAUAUGAUUAAAUUGGUUCAUUACAGUAAUGUCUCUAGUGAAUGUAAAUUAAAAUCAAUAACUCAUAGCUCGUUUUUGUGAUUUCAUUUAUAUGUUUGCAAUUCCCCUUAAAACCCUUAAUCUGGCAACUGUUCCGAUUCUCACUGGUGGAAGCUAUAAGAGAUGGAGGCGUGAAAUUGGUUUGUUGUUGACUCUAAAUGAAUUUGAUAUUGCAUUAGACACGCCCAAGCCAUCACCAUUGAUAGAUUAAAGUACCAAAUUAGAAAAAGCUGAUUUUGAAAGGUGGACAAGGGCCAACAAAAUUUCUUUAUCUAUUCUUGAAAGUGGGAUGACAAACAAGGUGAGAGGAGGAAUUAAUAAACAUGAUCUCGCAGUUGAUUAUCUCAAGGCCAUUGAAAGCAAGUUCAAGGAAUCUGAGAAGGCUAAAAUUAGUCAGUAUAUGUCUAUGUGACAACUUACGAGAUUGAAGGGAAUGUAUCAAUAAGAGAUCAUAUAAUGAAGAUGACAGAUGCUGCAGAAAAACUCAAUUCCAUGGAAGUGAAUAUUGGUGAGAAGCAAUUGGUUUUUAUGAUACUUCAAGCUCUUCCAACCAAAUAUAGUCAACUGAAAGUGUCAUAUAACAUUCAAGACAAGACUUGGACUGUGGAUGAAUUGAUUGCUCAAUGUGUGCAAGAGGAAACUCGGCAGAGGCAAGAGAAGGGUAACGAGGCAGAAUCUGUGAACUUCGUGCAAACUGGCCAUAAAGAGACCAUUGUGACUUCUGGUAAGGCAUCUAAACCUUCUAAUUAUGUUGAUAAGUCUAGUAAGUCUGCUAAAUAUUCCAAACCCUCUAAACCUAACAAUGUUAGUGUCAAAAUAAAAGAUGUGACUAAAAUUAGAUGUCAUCAUUGUAAGCUUAAAGGUCACUAUAGAAAGGAUUGUGAGCAAUUCAAGGAUUGGCUGACGAGUAAAGGUAGAACUAAUGUCUAUAUUUGUGUGGAGUCAAACUUGGUUGAAAUUCCUACUAAUUCAUGGUGGUUUGAUUCUGGAUGUUAAGUGCAUAUAACAAAUGCAUUGCAUGAUUUUGAAAGAUAAAAACAAAUUGAUAAGUUUUCUUAUAAUGUUUAUGUUGGAGAAGGGUCAAAAGUAGCAGUUGAAGCCAUUGGAAUUGUAAAAUUGAAAAUGUAAACUGGCUUUGUUCUUGAAUUGAAAGAUGUUUUAUAUGUCCCAGCCAUGAGAAGAAACUUGAUUUCUACAUCCAAAUUAGUGAAACAAGGUUUUGGUUUUCUCUGUGAUGAUGAUAGUAUUAAGUUUUUUAAAAGAGGUAAAUGUGAUUCACUUGUAUGGACAACUAUUCUAUAUGAUGAACUGUGGAAAUUGGAUCAUGUCAUUGAAAACAAAUCAUCUCACGUUUUGAAUAUCAACACCAAAAGAAUGCAUGAAAAAGAAAAUUCUUUUGAUUUAUGGCAUAAAAGGCUAGGACACAUUUCAAAAGAAAGAGUUAAGCAACUAGUUAAAGAUAAUUUGAUAUCUGCAAUUGAUUUCAAAAUGCAAAAGAAUGUGUUGAUUGCAUUAAAGGUAAAUUGACUAAUAUCAGGAACUUUGAUGCAAAGAGAAGUCAAAAUCUUUUAGAAAUUGUGCAUGCUGACAUUUGUGGUCAUUUCCCUAUCAAAACCAUCUAUGGAAAUAGCUGUUUUGUGAAUUUCAUAUAUGACUUGUUUAGAUAUUGUUAUACCUUUCUCAUUAGUGAAAAAUCAGUAGUACUUAAAUGCUUCAAAAUCUUUAAGACUGAGGUUGAGAAACAAUUAAAUAAAGAGAUUAAAAUUGUUAGAUCAGAUAGAGGAGGAGUAUUUUGGCAGGUAUACUGAGGCUGGAUAACAGAAGGGUCCAUUUGUACUCUAUCUUUAGCAACAAGGAAUUGUGGCACAAUAUACAACUCUUGGCACACCACAGCAAAAAUGGUGUAUCAGAAAGGAGAAAUAGGACAUUGAUUGGGAUGGUCAGAAGCAUGAUCUCGAGGUCUAAAUUGCCUAGUUUCUUGUAGAGGGGAGCACUCAAGACUGCAACCUAUAUUUUGAACAGAGUUCUAACCAAAUAUGUUAAUGGGACACCAUUUGAAGUCUAGACUGGUAGAAAACUAAGUUUUGGGUAUUUCCAUGAUUAGGGAUGCAAAUCUGAGGCUCGAUUCUACAAUCCCAGUGAAAGGAAGUUAGAUGCUAGAACCACUACAUGCUAUUUUGUUGGAUGCUCUGAGAAAUCCAAAGGUUUCAAGUUCUAUUGCCCGCAAGCUUAUUCAAUAAUUCAAGAGAUUCUCAAUGCAGUGUUCUUAGAAGAACAAGAUAUUGCAAAUUUAGUAGAUGAAUACUUUAUUAUUGAAGAAAUCAAUCAUGCAGAAGUCGAUCUUACAGAGAAUUAGUAUGUACAAAUUCCCACUUUCUCACAUGUGUCAUUUGCAAUUGACAAUGAAGAUUUAGAAAUGGCUGAGACUAGUGCACAACCAUAUGUUGAUGAGCAUUUAGCAAAGGUUAAUGAAAAUAUUCAACAUCAAGAUCAUCAAAUGGUGCAACAACCACUAAGGCAAUCAACUAGAGUGAAGAAACCUACAAUCUCGAAUGACUAUAUGUACUUACAAGAAACUGAAUUUGAUUUGGGAGAUAUAGAUGACCCUCUAUCAUACUUUCAAGCAAGUUUAUGGAAGAAAACAAUGGAAGAAGAACUUCAGUCCAUGUCAAAAAACAAUGUUUGGACUUUGGUGAAUUUUGAAGGUGGAUCAAAACCUAUAGGUUGCAAAUGGGUUUAUAAAACCAAAUGAGAUGCUCGAGGUAGGAUUGAAAGGUAUAAAGCUCGAUUGGUGGCAAAGGGUUAUACACAAAGAGAGGUAUAAACUUUAAUGAUACUUUUUCUCCAAUUUCUUCAAAAGACUCCAUGAGGGUAAUCAUGGCUUUAACAGUCUAUUAUGACUUAAAGUUACACCAGAUGGAUGUAAAAACUGCUUUCCGUAAUGGAGACUUGGAGGAAGACAUUUGCAUGGUUCAACCACCUGGAUUUGCUGAAAGGGGGAGGAAAAUAUGGUCUGCAAGUUGAAUAAGUCAAUCUAUGGACUUAAACAAGCUUCCAGACAAUGGUAUAUUAAAUUCGACAGAGUACUUGUAGCACAUGGUUUUACUGAAAACAAACUAGAUGAUUGCAUAUAUUCCAAGUUUAAUGGGUCUAAGUUUAUUUUCUUGGUACUGUAUGUAGAUGAUAUUCUAAUAGCAGGUUCAAACAUGCAAUUAUUGAAAGAAACCAAGGUUAUGCUUAGUUCAAAUUUUGAAAUGAAGGAUUUGAGACAGGCACACUACGUUCUGGGUAUAAAGAUUGUGAGGGACAAAAAGAAGAAGUUCUUGGGACUGUCAUAAAAAGGAUACAUUGAAAGAGUCUUAGCAAGAUUCAACAUGGAAGAAUGUACCAAAGCUGAUGUACCUGUCAAUAAAAGGGACAAGUUUUCUCGAGAACAGUGUCCAAAUAAUGAGUUAGAGAAGAAAAAAAUGGAUAUGAAGCCAUAUGCUUCUUUGGUAGGCAGUUUAAUGUAUGCAAACAUUUGCACAAGACCUGAUCUUGCGUUCGUUGUUGGUCUACUGGGAAGGUUUCAGUCAAAUCCUCGAGAAGCACACUGGAUAGCUAUGAAAAAGGUUUUGAGGUAUUUAUAAAAGAACAAAGAGUUUCAUGCUAGUAUGUGGUAGAGAAAAUGAAUUAGAGCUUAUUGGUUACACUGACUCAGAUUUGGCUGGGGACGUGGAUGAAAGAAAGUCGACUGAAGGCUAUGUUUUCAUGCUCAAUAGAUGAGCCAUUUCAUGGAAGAGUGCCAAGCAAACUGUGAUUCUACAUAUACUAUGGAAGUAGAGUUUGUGGCAUGCUUUGAAGGCAUGAAACAGGCAGUUUAACUUUAGAACUUCAUCAAUGAGUUGAAGAUUGUAGAUUCAAUUUAGAAACCGAUUAAGAUGUUUCGUGAUAAUAGCUAUGCAGUGUUUUUCUCGAAGAACAACAAAAGAACUUCAGCUUCAAGGUUGAUGGAUGUGAAAUUCUUGAAGGUUAGGGAAAAAUUAGACAGGGUGCAAUUAUAGUAAGGCAUUUGACUAUUGAUUUGAUGAUUGCUGAUCCUCUAACAAAAGCUUUGCCUAUGGUAUUUUCAAGUCUCAUGUUACUCGAAUGGGAAUGUUGGAAGCUUUUCAAAAGUGGGAGUAAUUGCUGCUGUAGUAAGAGUUUUAUUAGAGCUAUUGGAAGAUGGCAGUGGAUUACUUUACAAGGAAAGCAUUCUGCAAGAAUUUUCUGAAAGCUAAGUGUUUUAGUUAGCUAUUCUUGUUUGUUUUAUUUGUAGUUAGUUAUGAUUUUGUUCAAUACAAUUUUUCCACAUGUUUCUGUGAUUAUUGUUCUAGAGAAUAAAUUUUCAAUUCAAUAAGAGUUUGUGAAUCAUUUAAAGUACUAAUAAAGCUGUUGAAUGUGUCAUAAAUGUGUUGUUCAUCUGGUAGUGAAUGAUUUUGAGUUAACAAUUUACUGUUAAGACUGAUAGAUAUUUUUUAUAUCGAUUUUGGGCUAUGUGAGUGGGAGUAUACGUUUUGGUUUACUCUUGUAUUGAGAUGCAUUGCUAUAAGCAUAAACUAGACAUUGUGAUUUGUAAGGUGAUUUUGUAUUCUGUGUUACAAAGGAAAUUACAAAUUCAUUGUUUUGGUUUGUGUAAGCUGGUUGUAUCUGUGCACUGGUGUAAUUGAUAAAAGAUUUGUGUGAUCACCUUUAUGAUAGUUUGAGAUGAUUAUCUGUUGUGAUGAAUCGUACUCAAGUGGGAGAAUGUUAAAGUAUGAGUAUGAUUCUUGCAUGUCUUGGGAUAAUUAACAUUAUCAUAAAGAAGUCUUAGUCAUGUUAGCUAGAGUAAAUCUUAUUGUGAUUGGGAUAUUGAGAACUCUUGUAUUUGCACAAGUAUAAAACUCAUUCUAGUAGGAGGAAUAAUAUUCCUUAUUGGAUUGUAAUAGGGCAAUUUGUGGAUUAGUAUAUAAACGUAAGCCACUGUUCUCACAAACAACGCUCUCACUUUCGAACCAAUAACCUAUUCUUGGGAGAGCAUUGAGGUUUGCAGAGAAGAGAAGGUUGUGUGCAAGGAAAGUCAUGGCUUAUACCUCAACAAAUAUGUCUGUAGGUUAGUUCUCUGUCAUAUGUGGUUUAUCCUUUGUUCUUCAUAUGCAAAUCAAUAUUGUAAUUUAAUUGCUUGAUUUUUGGUUCUUGGGUUGAGACUUAUAUUGUUUUAGUUGUCUCAAUUUCACUCUUACACCUUCCACUACUAUAACUUUGAACUUGAUGAACACGUCCUGACGCAACAUCAUCCACAUAAUACAACCUUCUCCUCUUAGUACCAUGUCCAAUGAUCGCCCGAGUUCGAAUAUCCUAAAGUAGACAGAAAGUGGGAAACAUUAGCACAACACAGUUUAAUUGCUCAAUGACUUGGCCUACAAAUAAUAAAUUACUGGAGAGUGAGGGUACAAGCAAGCAAUUUUGUAAAGAAAGAUUAGAGGUGAGUGCAAUAGAACCCGCCCCUAUAACCGGCGCAAUACCCCCUGUUUGCCGUGAUAAUGCUAUUCCUUAGUGGUGGUACCAUAGAGUUGAAGAGGGUUUAAUCGUAAGUCAUAUGAUCGGUGGCUGCUGAAUCAAUGAUCCAACCUGUAUCAUGAUUAAUGGAAGCAAUUAAGGCAGUACUCAUAUUACUUGGGUCAUCGGAAUUGUUUAACGAGAUCAUAUUUAAAAAGGAUAGUUGCUGCCCAAUACUAUCCUGAUCCAAAAACUGCGCUGAUUCCUUGGGCUGGUUUUGGACCAUGGUGAUGUGGCCCAUUGCUGCAUCUUGAAUUUCAUGCCCAUCCGGGUUUGAUUUGACUAUUCCCGGCCCACCAUAGUGGGCUGCCAUUGCAGCUAAGUUAGGAUCAGGGUCGGCCUUCCUUGUUUGGGCUGGGCGUUUGCUUGAUUUCCCUUUGAUUUGUUUUCCCUAUUCCAUGAACCAUUCAGGGUAUCCAUGAAUUUCGAAACAAGUAUCUUUUGUAUAACGAGUGCCAUUGCAAUGAAAGCAUUGAAGCUUGUCUUUUUUAGCAUUUUCCAAAUCCCACAGUGAGUGUGAUGGACCUGGGAAUGGUUUACUAACCAUGGCCACAUAUGGACCAUUGUCAGCAUCCUUAUUGCUUAGCAUAGUGGUUUUUCGUUGUGUUUCUCGCCGAAUGGUGUUGAUGCACUCUUCUAUUCCAGGGACAGGUUUUAAUCGAAGAAGCAUGCUCCGUACCACAUCCAAUGAGUCAUCGAGUCUCGCAAGAAAGUCGUACACCCUGUUUUUUUGAAGAUCUUCCUUCCUACUUUUCAAGCAGGCUGCACACACCAUCUUGUUGGGAUGUUGUUUGUCCAUCUCCUGCCACGCUUUUCAGUUUUGCAAAAUAGAUGUUCACUGGACGUCCAUUCUGCUUUGUUCUUGUUGCCUUGCAUUGAAGCUCAUAAUAUUGGGAUUUGUCUUCCCGUCAUAGAACAUCUGAUUGACGCUCUCCCAAAUAUCAUGUGCCAUUGGUAACUCAAUGAAUAGCCCUAACAGAUGUGGUUCCAUAGUUUUUAGCAACUAUCCUCGGACAAUUGCAUCCUCAGUAUGCCACUUCAUAAACCCAGGUUCUGUUUCAUCCACUGUCGAAGUCUUCCCAUUGAGAUAACCCAUCUUAUUUAAUCCUUCUGCAUGAACUUCCAUCAUCUUCGACCAAAUUUUAUAGUUCGAAUCAUUUAGUUUGAAUCCGAGACUUGGAGAUUCAUUUGUACCAGAAGCCGAAGCCCCUACGGGAAUAAUUGCUACUUCUGCAGCCAUCACAGUAGAAAAGUGUCUUUUUUGUGUUUCUGAUUUGGGGUGUUUUGCAAGUGAGUCCCUUUUUGUCGGGACACAGCAGCACACACAUAUAAUAGGUUUAGGAUUGGAGAAAGAUACCAUGUCGAAAACCUGGUUCUAAUGCUAAGAUAACUUUGAUUGAUUCUUAUUCUCAUCUCUCCAAUAUGGAGGGAAUAUAUAUACAUCCACACCUUGCGGUACAAGGAAUAAUAAUAAAGGAGUUUAUGCUAAACUAGGAAGGAAUCCCUUUAAUCUAGGAAACCAAAUUACAUUCCAAUGCUGAUUGAUUUAUAUGACUCACACGUCAACGCCUUUGAGUUAUUUCUUGGGAGUUGAAGCCACAUAUGUUGGUGAUCACAUGCACCUGACGCAGACCAAAUAUGCCCUAGACUUUUUAGCACGCACAAAGUUUACAGAUGCCAAACCAAUUUCUACUCCAAUCCCUGCAAGUCACAAGUUGAGUGCUUAUGUUGGUGAUCCAUACAAAAAUCCAAAACAGUACAGAAGUGUUGUUAGAGCCCUACAAUAUUUAACGAUUACCUAAGAAUACUCAUUGGAUGGCAAUGAAAUGCAUCUUGCGUUACUUGAAAACGUCAUUGGAUGGCAAUGAAACGCAUCUUGCGUUACUUGAAAGCAACUUACAAUCAUGGUCUUGUAUAUGAACCUGGAGGAAUGCAGUUAAACGCAUUAUCCAAUGCAGAUUAUGCAGGUAAUCCGGAUACCCGUCAUUCCAUUGGAGGUUUCUAUGUUUAUUUGGGACAAAACUUAAUCUCCUGGAGCUUGAAGAAACAGAAGACUAUCUCCAGGUCGAGUACAGAAGCCGAGUAUAGGCAACUGGCCUACACAACAGCAGAAUUGUCUUGGUUAAGGUCGGUGUUCAAAGAUCUUCACUUGCAUCUUCUGAGACCACAAAUAUGGUGUGAUAAUGUUUCCUCGAUCGCCUUAGCCUCUAAUCCAGUUUUCCAUUCCCGAACGAAACCCUUGGAGGUUGAUUAUCACUAUGUUUGUGAAAAGGUGAUUCGACGAGAGCUUCAGGUCAAUUUCAUUUGUUCUCAAGAUCAAAUUGCGGAUUUGUUUACGAAGGGUUUGUCUUCAUCACGUUUCAAGCUCUUGGUAUCCAAGCUUCCAGUUGUUGCACGACCUGUCAGCUUGCCGGGGGAUGUUAGACCGACUCAGGCUUAUCCACAAUCCAGCUCGUGUUUGAAUUCUUCGAACUCAUCUGUUAGUCAUUCUAGAUUGGAAUCCUUAUCGGAGGAUAAGUCCGUUAGAUCUAGGUCUCAUUUAAAUGUUUAAAGUGUGAUUGCUGUUGUAAUAUUUGAAAUUCAAAAUGUCAGUGUAAAUAGGGUUCUUGAUAACGCCUGGUGUAAUCUACGAUUGAGUAUAAAUAUAUGCAACCCAGCACAUUGCGGGUAUGCAAAACUGAACUGAAAAACUCGAGUUCUAAGUGUUACAGAGGGAUCAGAAUUGCACGACUUUUAAGUGGCUCACAACCUGUAAGUGCAACAAAUUUAUAGACGACAUAAUGGAUAAAAUUUAAAGUAAAAACAUAAUGGAUAAAUCAUUCUGAAAAUAGAAAAUGAAAUGCUUAGUUGGGAAAAAGCGUGGAGAGGAAUCAUAUCUGCCCACAACUCAUAACUACUCAUUUGUUUCAUAUAUAUACAAUGGCUCCUUAUAAAGAUAUCGAUGGUGAAAGCCGAAACACCGCUGGAUAUAGGUGGUCUUCUAAAGAAUUACUUCACACAUUAAGACAGAUAGGGAGCGAAAAUGAAUAAGAACACCGUGUGCACAACCACGUUUGAGUUCAGAAACAAGCUGCUCGUUGAACCCUUUUCCUAUUCCUUUGGUCUAGACGCUGAAGUCGCUUCAGAAUGGUUUUCCCCAACAAUCGGUUGCGCUUUUGUUUCCUCUUUCUUCUUUGCUUCGACCUCUUUGAGGUCCAAGAAGCUCGGCUGAUUGGUCGAUGACAAUAACCGCGCCCACAUUCUGUCAGUUAUCACAACCUUGUUCUGCCCCUGGGUCACCCGCUGUGCAUGAAAGAACAAUCAACUUGAGCAUACGACUCAAUCACAAACAAUGACAAUUUAUGGUAGUACACGAAAAGAGAAGUUCUCAUGCACAUCAAAUAAAUGUAAAUUCUAUUUUUUGCCUAUGUUUUUGCAUCACUUGCUUCAUAUUUCCUGUCGUAUUGGCAUAUUAAAUUUUAUAGGGGAAUGUAACAGCCGAGUUUCCCCACUAAUGAAUCAUAUGCUUCCCUUCUUUUACUGAAACCAAGAGUAACUUACAUGGAACGGAAUGUAAGCAUGCCUUCUGUUAACAGGGCCGACAGUGAAUCCCGUGUAUCCAGCCAUCGCACCAUGAAUGGCACUUUGAGCAAGGAGGGUGCUAUAUACAUUAUCAGAUGCAUUGCUUGGAAUUGCACGGAUCAUAUAAGUGGGAUCUGCCAGAAAUGCACAGCUAUUGUUAGGUUAUAUAAGUUGUACCACCUGGCUGUACGAUGAAUAUCUGUAGAAUCAGACAAAAAAAACCAACACUCCACAAUCCCACGAAAGACAAUGCUUCAGUAAGACGAACCUAUGUAUUUGAGAUUUAUAGUCAUCUUUCUCUGUUUCGAGAAGUGAUCCUACAAGAACAUAUUCAAAACCAAUAUAUAUGGUAAGAAGUGGCAUACCCAGAGUCAAGUCACUCAAAAUUGUGACGAUAAACAAUAGCAUAUGAUGUCGACAUCAUCCAACAAGUAGGCCACAUUGCUUUUUGUAUGAUGUAUAAGACCUUGUAAUUUUCAAAUUUGACAAAGGAUGCAAGCAAAUCCUCAGAGCACCACCUUCUGGUUAUACUAGGACUACUUUUUGGCUGACAAAGAUAAAGGGACUGAUCGGAAACUGACAAUUUAUUUGCUUGAGAUUGAAAGUGUUUUCUAAUGGAGACAAUACAACAGAAAACAAGGGAGAAAGGCUACGGACAUGCUUACAACAGAAAAAGUGUAAAAAACAGGCAACCACACAAACAAGGGAGGAGGAACAACAUUUCUGAAAUCAGGCAUAGAAAUAUUGCUAGCAUCUUACCCUAAUAUUUUGCGAUAACCACAGACCAACAUCUUGGAGAAGCUUAUUUCCGGAAGCAUCCUGCUGGUUCAUGCUUUCAGAAAGAAGCUCUUGUCCUGCACCUUCGGCUAUUACUAUAACCAUGUGACCAUUCUCCUUCAGUCUUCUUUCAAUAUAUUCAUAAAGUCCACCUGGUCCUUCCAUAUAGAAAGGCGAUUCUGGAAUCAGACAACAGUCUACGUCUCGGCUAGCAAGAGUAGCAUACAUUGCUAUGAAUCCUGUGUGACAAGAGAGAUUCAGAAUAAGAACUACGUAACAGUGACUGUUCCACGGUCUACCACACAGUCUCAUCAAUGGGUGUACAUAGUCACAGGUAAAGGAAAUUGAAACCCAUGUACACAUCUAGUCGACAUGCAGAGGGCACAGUUAGUACACAGUUAGUACACGUGACUGUUCAGGGAGAAUCAAAUCAAUUGGAGAAGUAAGAGAGCUGAUAGUGACCUAAUAUCACCACACUGGAAGCCUUUUUUCACAUUAUCUUGUGUGUUUUACUCAAAAAUCAAAUAAUUUUAAGAUUAUAGAGGAAUACACUUU
rnacentral:lncRNA from 1 species